AGUGAACGCUGGCGGCGUGCUUAACACAUGCAAGUCGAACGAGAACGGAUUAUAGCUUGCUAUAAUUGUCAGCUAAGUGGCGCACGGGUGAGUAAUGUAUAGGUAAUAUGCCUCUUACUAAGGGAUAACAAAUGGAAACGUUUGCUAAUACCUUAUACUCCUUAUUAACAGAAGUUAAUAAGGGAAAGAUUUAUUGGUAAGAGAUUAGCCUGUAUUGUAUCAGUUAGUUGGUGGGGUAAUGGCUCACCAAGACUAUGACACAUAACUGGUUUGAGAGGAUGAUCAGUCACACUGGAACUGAGACACGGUCCAGACUCCUACGGGAGGCAGCAGUGGGGAAUAUUGCACAAUGGACGAAAGUCUGAUGCAGCAACGCCGCGUGGAGGAUGACACAUUUCGGUGCGUAAACUCCUUUUAUGUGAGAAGAUAAUGACGGUAUUAUAUGAAUAAGCACCGGCUAACUCCGUGCCAGCCGCCGCGGUAA
rnacentral:rRNA from 1 species